UACAGAGGUCUCAAGCGUUGUUCGGAUUCAUUGGGCGUAAAGGGUGCGUAGGCGGCGCGGAAAGUAGGGUGUGAAAUCCCUCGGCUCAACCGAGGAACUGCGUCCUAAACUACCGUGCUCGAGGGAGAUAGAGGUGAGCGGAACUUAGGGUGGAGCGGUGAAAUGCGUUGAUAUCCUAAGGAACACCGGUGGCGAAAGCGGCUCACUGGAUCUCUUCUGACGCUGAGGCACGAAAGCUAGGGUAGCGAACGGG
rnacentral:rRNA from 1 species